GACGUAGGAGGCGAGCGUUGUCCGGAUUCAUUGGGCGUAAAGAGCGCGCAGGCGGCUCGGUCAGUCGGAUGUGAAAACCCGGGGCUCAACCCCGGGCAUGCACCCGAUACUGCCGGGCUAGAGGUAGGUAGGGGAGAUCGGAAUUCCUGGUGUAGCGGUGAAAUGCGCAGAUAUCAGGAGGAACACCGGUGGCGAAGGCGGAUCUCUGGGCCUUACCUGACGCUCAGGCGCGAAAGCUAGGGGAGCGAACAGGAUUAGAUACCCCCGUAGUCC
rnacentral:rRNA from 1 species